UAUAUGUGUGUACGUACGUAUGUACGUACAUACAAAAGAGUUAUGUAAUGUAAAACUUGUUUAUGUUAGUAAUGCAGUAUUGGGAACACAACUUUUUGUUUUAAUUUGGACAACUGACUACUAUAUUUUAAACAAAUCUUUCAGGUUUUCUCUGCAUGGGAAUUGGAGAACUAUGAAACCAUUAACAUAUUCUUAUGAUCUCAACUUUGAAGUUGAUCAUGAUUCUUGUUUUAAUCCCUGAGUUAAUACUCAAAAAUUUACCUACAAGUGAUGUUUCAGAAGAAAAGGUUUACAGAUUGUGUGUUUUUAGGUUGUAUUUAGUUUACUAAAGUGCACAUUAUUAGGUUAUGUUUAGUUGUAGCAGAUGAAAGUUUACUAAAGUGUACAGUGUUAGGCUAUGUUUAGUUGUAGCAGAUGAAAGUUUACUAAAGUGUACAGUGUUAGGCUAUGUUUAGUUGUUGUAGAUGAAAGUUUACUAAAGUUUACAGUGUUAGGCUAUGUUUAGUUGUUGUAGAUGAAAGUUUACUAAAGUUUACAGUGUUAGGCUAUAUUUAGUUGUUGUAGAUGAAAGUUUACAGUGUUAGGCUAUGUUUAGUUGUAGCAGAUGAAAGUUUACUAAAGUGUACAGUGUUAGGUUAUGUUUAGUUGUUGUAGAUAAAAGUUUACUAAAGUGUACAGUGUUAGGCUAUGUUUAGUUGUUGUAGAUAAAAGUUUACUAAAGUGUACAGUGUUAGGCUAUGUUUAGUUGUUGUAGAUGAAAGCUUACUAAAGUGUACAGUGUUAGGCUAUAUUUAGUUGUUGUAGAUGAAAGUUUACUAAAGUUUACAGUGUUAGGCUAUGUUUAGUUGUUGUAGAUGAAAGUUUACUAAAGUGUACAGUGUUAGGCUAUGUUUAGUUGUUGUAGAUGAAAGAUUACUAAAGUGUACAGUGUUAGGCUAUGUUUAGUUGUUGUAGAUGAAAGUUUACUAAUGUGUACAGUGUUAGGCUAUAUUUAGUUGUUGUAGAUGAAAGUUUACUAAAGUGUACAGUGUUAGGCUAUGUUUAGUUGUUGUAGAUGAAAGAUUACUAAAGUGUACAGUGUUAGGCUAUGUUUAGUUGUAGCAGAUGAAAGUUUACUAAAGUUUACAGUGUUAGGCUAUAUUUAGUUGUAGCAGAUGAAAGUUUACAGUGUUAAGCUAUGUUUAGUUGUUGUAGAUGAAAGAUUGCUAAAGUUUACAGUGUUAGGCUAUGUUUAGAUGUUGUAGAUGAAAGUUUACUAAAGUGUACAGUGUUAGGCUAUGUUUAGUUGUUGUAGAUGAAAGUUUACUAAAGUUUACAGUGUUAGGUUCUGUUUAGUUGUUGCAGACAAAAGUUUGUUAGCUUAAAUAUAUUUAGUUGUCACGGGAAAAUUUAUCAAACUGUGUAUAUAUAUAAGUAAAUAAGAUUUAACAUAAAGCAAGAUGCAAAGAAAAGGAUACUUUUUCUAGAUAUUCAUAAUGUGGUAUUAUAUAACUUUUAUCAUUAUUUUUAAUUUUUCACAAUACUACUUUCUAGAAAUCUUAAGUUAUUGUAGUUGGCACAUUUUAAAGCCACUGAUGAUGAGAAGAGAUCAUCAAUCGAGCCUUAAUUUCAACAUUUUUGUAAAGAAAACAUUUAGUUUGUUUUACAUAAAAAUUCUGUAUCAAUUUAUGUCUGAAUAUUGUAUGAUAGCUUAGUUUAGUUACACCACUAGAAUACAAAUUUGUUUUUUGAACAUGUACUGGAUACUUUUGAAACAUUUACAGCUGAUAAUUGGUCUUACUUUGUGUUUAGUAUGAGUAAUUUAAAGAGAUUCCAAACUUUCAUUUUACU